rnacentral:rRNA from 1 species
GACGAACGCUGGCGGCGUGCUUAACACAUGCAAGUCGAACGGAAAGGCCUCUUUCGGGGGGUACUCGAGUGGCGAACGGGUGAGUAACACGUGAGUAACCUGCCCUUGACUUUGGGAUAACUUCAGGAAACUGGGGCUAAUACCGGAUAGGAGCUCCUGCUGCAUGGUGGGGGUUGGAUAGUUUCGGCGGUUGGGGAUGGACUCGCGGCUUAUCAGCUUGUUGGUGGGGUAGUGGCUUAUCAAGGCUUUGAGGGGUAGCCGGCCUGAGAGGGUGACCGGCAAAAGUGGAAAAAAGAGAAGGAACAGGGGCAGGCGGAGGGCAGUAGUGGGGAAGAGUGCACAAUGGGUGGGAGACUGAUGCAGCAUUGACGUGUGCAGGAGGUAUGGGUUAGGGUGGUAAAAAGCGUACGAUCAGGAAGAAGCGUUGAGGGACGGUAGUGAAUAGAGAAGAAGCGGCUAGCUAAGUG